AUUUCCCUGUGAUUGGUUUCUGCGAGAAAUUCGUGAGGCAUGAUUUCUCACGGAUUGGCUUAAGCCAAUCGAUAGUAAACCAGUAGCCCAUUGGAUCUCUGGGAAAUGUAGUUCACUUAGAAUCAGAGCGGUUCCCCCUCCCCUUAUCUGCCUGGGAUCUGAUAACGGAUUUCUGGAAGGCAGAAGGAAGAGAAUACCUUGGAGAUCUGAAGGAUGUCCAGUGACUGCUUCCCCCAAUUGGCAGACAGGUCACAAGGGGGAGAGUCAG
rnacentral:lncRNA from 1 species